GUGGGUGGCUCCUAACAGACAGCAAACUGAGAUCUUUCCUCUACAACUUCAUGGAAUUCAGCCUGUUGCUCUCAACAAUGUCAUAGUAACCAGUUAAACCUGAGCACUUGUGGGAUUUGUGCCAGAUCCAGGACAACUCUAAGGGACUCAUGAUGAAAAAGGCCAUGCAUUAUCAUAGAAUGAACUCACAGAGUCCAAAUGUAGAUUGAAACACACUAUUCUUCACUUUAUUUCCUCCAUGAAGUUUUCUCUAUUAUCUCCCAAUGCCCUUGAGGACACUGGAAAUGUUUCUCAAAUAUUUCUGAAAUCUGUAAUUAGUGAUGCCAAUUAUUAUAAUAGAAACAGAACCAAAUCUGAAUUUGUUUGAUAGGAUUUUCUUAGAAAUUUUCUAAAAAA
rnacentral:lncRNA from 1 species